rnacentral:rRNA from 1 species
UACGAAGGGGGCUAGCGUUGUUCGGAAUCAUUGGGCGUAAAGCGUGUGCAGGUGGCUCUGUAAGUUGGAUGUGAAAGCCCCGGGCUCAACUCGGGAAGUGCAUUCAAAACUACAAAGCUUGAGUAAGGAAGAGGGUCGUGGAAUUCCAGGUGUAGUGGUGAAAUACGUAGAUAUCUGGAGGAACACCGGUGGCGAAGGCGGCGACCUGGUCCUAUACUGACACUCAUACACGAAAGCGUGGGGAUCAAACAGG